UGGUUUUGUUUUUUGAUCUGUAAAAUAGUUUCUUCGCAAAGCGACUGUCAGUAUUUCCGUUUAGCGGAUUAAACUUUCGCGAUGGCGAAUUUUGGAGUGCUUCUUCAAUCAAUCUUCGAAUAGAGUUUCAUUCUAAUCUUCUUUGGAUUGAUGAUUGAAGACAAUAAACUCCGAUUAGUUUUGAUCGGUAGUAGGGAAUCAUGUUGUUUUCCUUCAGCUUUGUAUUAUAUCCCGGAGACAAUUGAAAGGACAUCGUUUGGUUCUCCGUUCACCUAAUCAAUUCAUAGGAGAAUCAGUCUUUCUUCGUUGGUGUAGCCAGAUUGGCUUUGAAGAAAGCAUCUCUGACCGGGAGUUGAACGGGUUUGAAGGAUCUCUGUUGUCAUUUAUGGGGUGGAUCAAGAAGAAUCGGCGUCUAUGGCGGUCCGAUAAAUGGUCUUUUUCCAAUCUGAAAAAAUUUCCUCCGCUUAAAUUCCGGCGAAUCAAAUUGUUUCCAGUCAAGUAGUCUCGGUGAAGAUGGAAGGCAACCUCAAGUGAAGAUCAACAAGCCCAAAUGAUGCAGAUCGUAUUAAGCAAAGUUCACUGGUGAAGCAGAUCCCCUUUUUCGCACGGCGGCGCGUUUCAGGCGCGUGAAUCACGUUCAACUGCAUGCAGAAGCUUUGACACGUGUAUUGCUUCUUUCUUUUGUCUGACGCCUGGGCUGCAGAGUCACCCGUUGGAUGAAAGCAAAUUAUGUUAUAUUUGGGCUUUCUUGGGCUUAAUUGUAUAUUCGGGUAUGUAAUGGGGAUGGGUUGUUUGAUUGUAAGCUUGUAAUUGCCCAGUUGGGCUUAUAAAUGAAAUGCAAAAGUCGAC
rnacentral:lncRNA from 1 species